rnacentral:lncRNA from 1 species
CAACAAAAAACCACUGGUCGUGACGCUCAGAGAUCACUCGCAAUAGUCAGGAGUUAACAGAAAGUGUGUGCACCCAAAUUGUCUACCAUCCUUCUAUAAAAACUGGCUGCUUUUAAAGGUUUGUCUAUUAAAAUGCUAUCAUGUUUUGCUUUGUUUGGUUUCCUUUUAAAGACAGUUGUUUAGGUGAUGUGUGAGGGAUUAAAAAGCCACCCCUGAGAUAAAGCUGACCUGCUUGCAGGAAAGCCACGAUGGAAGGCGGAAGUAUAGAUGAUGGAGGAUUUACGGAGAAUGCGCAGACACAGAUGUGACGUGGAGGGGAGGGCGACUCAGGCCCUUCCUCGCAAAGACUCAUCUAACUGUCGGGGCAACUGUGGGUGCUGCCAUGUCGGAUGAGACGACUGGGGAGUGAGAGGCAGGAAAGCAGCCGAAAGGCCGGGGGGCAGUGUUCUCCAAGGCCUCUCAGAAAAGACAGGAGAGCUUCUCUACACCCCGCUCUCCAGUGGGGAAGCCUGCUUACUUAUAACGGACCCAACAGUAAAUGCAGUCCCCACCACUCUUGGCCAUUGUCAGAAGGGAUAGGUCUGAGGGUCCGGGCAAGAGCAGACCGACGGCCUGGAGAGAGCUUUUGGGCUUGAACUGGAACAUUGGCUCUCCUUGGGUCUGGAGCCUGACAGUUUUCAGAGUGGGACUUACACCGUUGGAUGUCCUGGUCCUCAGCCUUCACACUUCAGCUGGAACUUCACCACUGGCUCUCCUGGGUCUCCAACUCGCUGACUCUAAAUCUUGGGAGUUCUCAGCCUCCAUAAUCAUAAGAUCCAGUUCCUUUUUCAAAUACUUUAUAAAUGUGUCGCACAUUGCAAAGAUGGUGGGAAGCUUCCAGAGGUGCCGAGUCUUGGGACUUCAGACCUACUGUCUUGGAAAAUUUCAAUUAUACAACACAGGAUUAUCACCUGUAGCCACCAUGCUUGCGAAUAGAAUCAUCAAAGCCAGCUGCCUCCACACGGACUGGGAUGGGAUACAGGGCCACACGUUCUUCUAUCAAUUACAGGCAGUGUCUCAAGUUCUCACCUACAGGAUUAAAACAUCUAUGAAAAAUGUGCCCCAGCCUAUAAAGGCUGACUCUGCUGAUACGCUCGCUUCUGUUCCUCUGAGUCGGCAGCGUUUUCUUCAUUUUACUGAUGAGGAAACUGAAUCUCGGUGAAUAACUUGCUCAAGGACACACCGUUGCAGAUGGCGUACCAGAACCUGAGCAGCAAGCACGCCUCAUGUCAGAGUCUGCGAGAGGCAACGCUGCCCUUUAGGAAGCUGAUGCAUGAAUCGAAUACAAUUUCAUGCUUGCAACUGAGAUAGGCGGAACUUUAAUAUUCGCUGUUAUUUUCAUAAUGGCACAAAAGUUAUUAUGCUUUGUGACACUAAGUGAAAGUUUUCCUGGGACCUCGCUGAAAAUACUUCUGGGAUUAGUUCAAACUCGGGGUCAAUAAACGUUUUUUCAGUGCUAAAUGUAGCCAAUGCUAAUUGAUAUGGGAGACAACAAGGCAACCCAGCCCAACGAGACCCCUUCAUCAAGCAGGUUCCGCUCACGCAGCUAGUGGAGACAGACGUGAAGGACUGAGUCCAUUCGUGGCAGAUUUCGUUUCCCGGAGAUGGCCGCACCAUAUCUUCUGUCGCGCAUGCUCUUCUACAAUGCAAGCUUGCCACUCCUGCAUCAAAAGGCAGAGUCUUCUUCCCCUCCCUUUGAAUCUGGGUGGGCUUUGAACCUGCUUUGACUGAUAGAAUAUACCAGAAGUGAUGUUGUAUGACUGUGAGGCUGAGUUCUAAAAGGCUAAGAAUCUUUUACUUUGUUCUCUGGAACGCUAUCGCAU